rnacentral:ncRNA from 1 species
ACAAAGUUUGAUUCUUUUUUGAAGUUUUAUGAUUUUAUUUGAAAUUGUAUGAAAAUGAUUUAUAGUAGGAAAGAAAUAUAAUUUAUUUAUAUUAGUGUUAAAUUUUAAUAAGAGUUAUAAAUUGUGAAUUCUCAGCAUAAAAUAUUAAACAAUAUAUAAAGUAUGAUUUAGAAAAUAAUUAAAACCUGAUUAAAUAUUGUGCCAGCAGUCGCGGUUAUACUUUAAGGUUAAGUAAAAUUUUAUUGGCUGUAGUUAAAUGUUUAAAUAUGCAAGCUUUUUAAAAAUAAAAGGUGAAAUUAGGUUAUUUAUUUUAAAAGUAAAAAAAUUUUUAUUGAAGCUAAAAAUUUUCAGGUUUAAACUAGGAUUAGAUACCCUAUUAUACUGAAAAAUAACUUGUUCUGCCAAAUGAUUAAUAGAUAUGAUCUUUAAAAUUAAAGAAUUUGGCGGUAAUUUAGUCCUGUUAGAGGAACCUGUUUAUUAAAUCGAUAAACCACGAAAUAUCUUACUUGUUUUAUUAGUAAUUUGUAUACCAUCAUUAUCAGAUAAUUUUUAUAGAAUGAAUUAUUGAAUUUAUAAGAAAUUAGUAAAAUUAGAUCAAGGUGCAGUUCAUAAAUAAGCUUAAAUGGGUUACAAUAAAUUAUAAUUAAAUGAAAUAAAAUUUUAAAUAGUUUUAAGAAGGAGGAUUUAAUUGUAAUAAAAGUUUAAAAUGCUUUUAUGAUAUAGGUUCUAAAUUAUGUACAUAUCGCCCGUCGCUUUCAUAUAAUUAUAUGAGAUAAGUCGUAACAUAGUAGAUUUACUGGAAAGUGAAUCUAGUUUAAU